CCCAGAUCUCAGGCUUACGAAGCUAACGCUAGCACUGACCUGAAACCCCAGAGCAGAUGUUUGCCCUGAUAACCAAGGCGCACACGCACCCUUCAGGGAAUCUGGAGGAUAACGUUCCCAAGCCCAGGGUGAGGCUGCAGAAACACCUCCGGAAGCCAUUUUGAGCCCUCUGCACCGGUUUGGCUGAGCUGUGCGGUCCGACGCUGCUUUGCAUUCGGUUCAGACCUUGUGACUUCCAACACACCGCCGGGGCUUUUCCUCCUCCUUCUGACAGACGUCAGGGACUAGACAGUUCACCAGAGAGCACUAGCGCCCUCGUGACCGUCAGACCCGAGGAUCUGGAUGAGUGUCGGGUGGGCGCCAUUGCUCUGCCCUGUAGAAACCUGGGGAAGGCUUAUGUUCCCUAAGGGAGUCACAGUCAGUCUUCCUAUGACUGUCUGGGAGCUUCCGAGUGACAGUGCCACACCCACGGGCUGCUUCCCGCCUGUCCCUGCCUUCCCUCACCACCUGAGGACCAGCCCGGCCUGACCACUAGGUCAAAUAAAUGAAAUCAUACGCAACGACCUCUCCGGCACGAACCCCCACUCCUAACUCAGCGCGUUAGAGCUGGCAGGAGCUGUGUGGAGUUGGCUCAGUGCAGACAACUGGGCUUCUGCGAGCGAGACUUUGAUGAAAUAAACUGAGCCCACAUCUGGUACCACUCAGCAAUCCCAACCUACCGAACGCUGGGAGCUGGAGUCUGAAGAAGUAGCUCUCUAACAAGGACGGAGUAGAAGAGGAGGCCAUGGCGACUCUUGAGAGAGAAAAGUCAUCUCAAGGGAAGAGAAGGGCUGGCCAGUGAGGCCAGGGCAGAUGCUGGCCCACGAAAGAAGGGCCUGUGUGGCAGACUGAGCCCAAGGCUGGCCCUCCUGCCCACUGGAUUAAAACACAGGAAGUGCCUUAUUUCACCCGACCACCACACCAGGGCAUUGUGGAAGCAAGCAUUGAAUUUUCUACCAUGAGAGUAUUUGUAGGAGCCAAAGCUAUUUAAAAACAAACAAACAAAAAAGGCAAAAACACUUUGUUAGGAGCCUUUAUCCUUUGUAUUAAUUGAUAGGAUUCUGGUAAGCUACGGCUUCCUACUGAUUUCUAACUUUCCUGGCUGUCCUACAUGAUUUGCCUGCCUUAUCCAGUGCAUUUUAGAGGUCUUCCAAUUGUCAUCUCGGCUCUUUCAUAAUCAGCUCCCUCCUCCGUGUGACUAAAACCAUAAGUUUGUUAAUAAUAGCAUGCUGAGAUUUUUUUUUGUUCUUAAUCUGGCUUCAAACAUAGUGAGAGGAAGUUGAACAGCACAAGACAGUGUCCUGGACAGAACAGAGCCUGCCUGCUACGGGACAGUACCUUGUGUUUGCAUGCAUGUACAUAUAGGCAUAUAUUUAUGUAUAGAUAUUCAAGAACGGAGAUGGUGACAACCAGUCCACGUCCAGCGGGGCUUCCAUGUUAGCAAUAAUGAGUGUCCACCUUGAGAAUGCACCUCAGAGUCCAGACCCGGUUUUCCAGCACCUUCCAUCAGGGUCUGUGACCCCUGAACAGGCAGGUGGCGUUUUCUUAUCUCAUGUAGUCACUGAGCACCCUAGACCGCAGUAGAGCUGUGCUCAAAUGCCCACAGGCCACCAAAUGGCCAAGUCUGAAAGUGGUUGUAAAUAACCAUUACGAAAAAGGAGUGUAAUAUAUUUGUUCAAUUAUAAGAUUAUUAUUUCACAGAAGCCUUAUAGCUCUCUGCUUCAUCUAAGAAAACAAUUACCAAAAACAAUGUUUCUAUAUGCAGUCUGUGGAUAGUGUGUUUUCAGGUUAGUUACUGGUAACAGAUAGGCUGGUGUCGGCUUUGUGUAAUUAGCUGCUUAUUACAGUUAGUAGCAGUGACCUAUUAUUUCUUAUAACCAAAAAAGCACGGUUUAAUUAAAACAUGUUUAAUGAUUGUGCCUUAGGAGUUAAUGCCCCCUUAUGGAACAUGCCUGAAUUGCACCUGUGGGUGGAAGUUGUGAGUUAGUCACAGAGUCAUGACAAGAAAAACUCUCUCACAGGAAGAUGCAUCUUUGAAAUGUUUGUUCUGUACAAUGGUGUCUUACCUUUCUCCAACUCACAGAAAGAAACAAAUGUCUGAAAGCCAUAUUGAACGUUUUCACACGACUGUGAAGAGCUGACGUGCGCCGCCUUGUACACACAUAGCUCCCGGCCGCCUGAAGGCUGCCUCCCGCCUGCAUCUAGUAUGUACCUGUGUUUAUUAGCAUCAUGGAGCUGCAUGGACCAUUCUUAGUAGGCUGUCAAAUGAAAGCAAGCGUUUGAUAUUUGUGUCUGCUAUCUUUGUAGUUAGAAAAUGGAUCCAAUAAAGCAGUAUUUUUUUCUUUUU